rnacentral:rRNA from 1 species
AUUCCUCUAAAUACACUUUCCAGUACAUUUACUUUGUUACGACUUAUUUUUUUUUAUAAAAAAAAUUGACGGGCGAUUUGUACAUAUUUUAAACUUUAUUCAAUUUAAUUAAUUUAAAAAAUUUACUAUUAAAUUCUUUUUUAUUUUAAUUUUAAAAUUAAAAUAUUUAAGUAAAAUUUAUUGUGACUCUUUUUUUCUUAAUUAUAAAUUACAUAUUGAUCUGAAAUAUAUUUUAUAAAAAUUAAUAAAAAUAUUAUUUAUAAAUUUUUUUAUAACGAACAUACAUAAAUAUUAAAAAUUAAGUUUUUCUUUUCGUGGAUUAUCAAUUAUAAAGUAAGUCCCUCUAAUUAGAUUAAAAUACCGCCAUAUUUUUUAAUUUUCAUUAUUUUACUAAUUUAAUAAAAUUAAUUUUUUAUUAAUAAUAAGGUAUCUAAUCUUAGUUUAUUUUAAUAAUUAAUUAAUUAUAAUAAUAUUUAUUAUUUAAUUUAAAAAAAUUUAAAUUUUAUCUUUAAAUCUUUUUUUAAUAAAUAAUAAUAAUAAUAUUUAUUUAUAUUAAUUAAUAUAAUUAAAUUAUAUAUUAUGUAUAACCGCUAAUGCUGGCACAUAAAUUUUAUAUAUUAUAAUAAUUUCUAUAAUAUAAUUUCUUAUAAAAAUAAUUUUAUAUAUUAAAAUUUUAAUUAUUUAAAUUAAAUUUUGUAAUUUAUAUAUAUAUAUAAAUAUUUUAUUUAAUUAAUUAAACUAAAAUAAAAUUUAU